rfam:Prochlorococcus phage Syn1, complete genome.
CCUGGUUUCUACAUUCCAGUUAAAGAUGUAGUGGUGGUGCCAAACCCCUUCCGUGUGGCUGUUUUCUUGUUUAGCAGUUAAAAUAAUAAAACAAGUGGCGUGCAUGUAA